GGAGCGGAGCAGGGACACGGGGAGCCAUGGCGGGGGGGAGGAGAGGCGCCAUAGCCAGGCCAGAACAAUCGAGCCGCUACUCGGGUGGCUUACCCCCGCCCCGCCCACACUCACUGCUCGUCGCCUGCCCGUGGCCACUCGCAGUGCCGCUGCCGUCGGCCUCGUGCACCUUGCACCCUGCCGCUGCCACCUGACGCCCGGUGCGGACCGGGGUUCCAGGGAAGACCCUGAUCCAUGCCAUCUGAGUACAGAUUGGUCGAGGCUGGGACUGGCGAAGAUUGCCGAAAGGCAGCGGGGAGGAGGAGGAUGUCAUCGCUACAGUGAGCAAGCAGAUCUCGCAGGAGGAAAUGUCGCGAGAGCGUUGUAGGCCCGCGACUGCCGAGGCAAGGUUACUUUUCCCGGAAGUAACGUCAAUUGAAACCGCCCGGGAUCUUGGGAAUGUUUGUUCCUGCAGGCUAGAGGAGCUGAGAACUCAGUGGAUGAGAUGUAGAAGACACAGGUGUUGGUUUGCCUCGGUGUGGGACCACCUUCAGAACCACUACUAAAGCAAUGAAUGCCUCAGUGUUCUCAGCACAGCCACACCCAACGUACAGCCUCUGUCCCACAGCAGGGGCCAGGGAGAAGAAAGAACCCCUGCACAUUAGCCCAGAAUUUGGUAUCAGCAACAGGUGCCUGUAAUCCUAUCUACUUGGGAGGCUGA